UUGAACUUAUAUGGCAGCCAUCCUGAUAGUUACAAAAUGACACACAAGGUAGGAGCUGAGAAUGCAACACUGAAUCCUGGCUGUCAGGAAAAUGACAAUAUAGCAUGGCAAGUUCACUCAGGCAGAUUUCAUUAUAAAAAUGGGUAUAAGAAUUUAUAAUAGGAAAAUAAUUCAUAGGCAAUGUGGAGAGAAACAACAUUCUUAAUUAUAGAUAUAGUUCCUUCUAAUUAACUUAGUACUGAUGGAGUGACCAGCCAGAAUUGGCACAUUCUAAGCGGACAGAAAUAAAAGUUGAGAGGUUUUGGAAAAGUGGUAAAAUAUCCACGUAUUUAUUCUUGUUCAAUUCAUCUUUAUUUGAACUUUCUUGUAGGAUGUGAUGAAAAGUGCAGAUCUACUUUGAAAGCUGAUACUUUACCAGGUUGUAGAACACACUGUUAAGAUUUGCACUUUGUUAUUUUGUUCCUACUGCAGGCUAGAACAGCCGUACUUGUCAGCAAGUGCACAAUUCUUUCAAGCACUAGGGCAUUGCUCAUCACUGGAGCGAUUCUGCAUAGUUUCUCGGCACGGAACUUUCCAGCAUGAUGCAGUGAUAUCAUUCAUGACCAAGUGCUCGAAUGUCGUCAUGUGUCACAUGUUUACAGGAGAAACUCUAGUGGCCUGCAAGAACCUUCAGCAAGCACUGAUUACAGGUUUCCAGACUGACCGCCCUGCACUGAAUGUGGCUAUAUUCCCACUUCUUCAUGAAGGACUCGCUGACAUCAUCCGAGAUGUUCCAAUGAUGCACUUGGAUGAAAUAACUCUGUUUAAAAGCCGUGUUGCAGAAGACCCUCUGCAUCUCUGGUGGUGAUAUUCUUACCAAGAAGAGAGAGAGAGAGCUAAUAGUGUGGUGAUCCCCAUGCGUGACUAUUUCCUUCAAAUUCCCCUGCUUGUUGGUGACAUUGUUGUUUAAAAUAAAAUGCACUCGUUUACUGUCUUGUGGAAACCAGAAAAAGGUUGAAGCUUGAAAAUUAGAGGUUUUUUGUUGCCUUGUUUUCCAACAAAAUUCCAUUGAAUCUGGGUUAUCACCAAUAAUGGUGGAUUUUACGUGUGGCAAGUUUUAUGUUGUGCCUGCUGUAGUCUUCACAAUAAUUGGAAAUCAGAACAUGAGAAGCAAAGGACAAGUAACAACCUAUCAACUCUCAUCCCACUAAUACCAUAACUCUCCCAGAAUAGCAUUCAUUGUGUUGCAAGCAUUCCUAAUGUUUGCCUCUACUUGCUGCUUGCUUCCAUUUUAAUGAGAUUAAAUCCUCUGGUUUGAUUUUUUUCUUGCUUCUGUUUUACAAACUGAGAGUAACCAAGUUUAGACUAGGUUUUCUUUUUGUUUGUUACCCUGUUGCAAGAUUAACUGUUGCUUUUCUUCACGAUUCUUGAUCAUCCUUAGCCUUCCUUGAAUUCUUUCAAGUUACAGUUGUGAGCAGUCUCAUUCUUCUCUGGACUGUCUUUGGUGUUUGUAUAUGUUCUUUGUGAUGUAGUGACUGGCAUUAAAUGCAUUUCUUCAAGUGUGAGCUGA